GAGAAUUGAGAAUAAUACAUAGAUGAGACUUUAGAGCUCAUCUCAUACGCGGCAAUGGAGAGACUAGGAGAUGAUGUAAUGGCCUUGAUUUUCCACCGGAUCCAAGACCGAAAUGACAGAAAGUCAUGCUCUCAAGUUUGCAAGCAAUGAUUGAUAGUCGAGGGCAUGACAUCUUCAAAUCUGCGGGUUUUCGAGCCCAACCUUCUCCGAAACUUCCUUCCCAGGUACCCAAAUCUUCUUAAAUUCGAGUGUUCUGAGGUAAUCUCGAAUUCUCAUGUCCAAUUUUUGGCCCAGACGUGCCCAAGAAUUCAGUCAUUGAACCUGAAUUUCAAGGAAAAAACUCAAAUUUAUUAUGAAACGGAUGAUAAUCUGAGCUUUGAUGAUUUUGAUGAUGAGGGUCUGCGUGCUAUUGCAAAGGGUUGUUGUGAUUUAAACUCGGUUUUAUUGAGGAAAAGAAGUGGUGUAGGCGAUGCUGGGGUUACUUCACUGGUUAAUUUUGCGCCCAAUUUGAGGGUUUUGGACUUGAGUUGCUGCCGAAGGGUUACUGAUGAAGGGCUUAGAUCUAUUGGGACAGCCAAUUCUUUGGAGAAUUUGAAUUUGCAGGGUUGUUGCUUGAUAUCUGACAGGGGUUUGGAGUCCCUGGCUAUAGGGCCUUUGUGUCAUACCUUAAAGAAAUUGAUCAUUGCUGAAUGUGAUCGGAUUUCAGACUCUGGGGUGGGGAGUUUGGUGAAAUUGAGGUCUUUGGAGGGGUUAGAUUUGGGGGACUGUGGGCCAAAAGUGACUGACAUUAGUGCAACAGCUUUUGCUGCAAUGAGAAGUCUGAUGAGAUUGAAUUUAUCCUGGCUUGUAAACGUAUCGGAUCAUACGCUUAUUUCUUUGGCUCAAAAUUGCAAGAACUUGACGUCCCUUAAUUUGACAGGUUGUGAAUUUGUUACUGGCAAUGGGAUUUGCUCCUUCCAGAAUCAUGAAUCAUUGAAAGAGCUGAUUUUGAGAUAUUGUAAAAAUCUCUUGGUUUCUGAUUUGGUGUAUUUGGUGCAUGGGUGCGAAACGCUAGAGCGAAUCGUGCUCGAUCGAGCACUGAAGAUAUGGAUUCCCGCACUAGCGGAUCAUAAUGUAAGAAAUAGUUGUAGGAUUGAGUGGAAAUGAUAAGCAUGAAUACUCAUUUAAAACAAGCAUACAUACGAUGGUCGAUGAAAGUGUUCUAGUGGAGGAAAAGGGUAGUCAUCCACAACCAUUGUCAAUCGGGAAAUGCUUCUUUACCCCUACAAAAACCACAAGUUUAUAGCCCCUCCCUGAUGUGGCUAUUUUUUGUGUGAUUCUGUUUGUGUUAAUGGCUGACUUUUGGUACAGACAUCAUCGUUACUGAAUGAUUAUCUGCUUCAGGUUGGAAUGGUUUUCGGGAGGAUCCUGGGCUGGAUUUCAGGGGCUGUUACAAUUGAGUUCUGAGGAUCUUGCAAAUAGCUGGUUUCUUUUGGCUACUGGACUUUGAUGAGUUUCUGAAAAUUUUCUGUUGCAGAUUCUAUUUGUGUUAAUAGCUGAUUUCUACAGACAAUACUAUCUACUACUGGUUGGACUGACUGGUUUUAGAAGGAUGCUAGUUUGGUUUUUAGGGCCUGUAAAACAAUUCUUUUUUUUUUUUCAAUUAUUAAGAAGGUUGGGUGGUCAUUUUUUUGUGGAUGCAAAAAUUAUUGUUUUUGAAGGAUGCUAGUUUGGUUUUUAGGGCCUGUAAAACAAUUCUUUUUUGUUUUCCAAUUAUUAAGAAGGUUGGGUGGGCAUGCUUUUGUUGAUGCAAAAA